rnacentral:rRNA from 1 species
UACGAAGGGGGCUAGCGUUGUUCGGAAUUACUGGGCGUAAAGGGCUCGUAGGCGGCCAACUAAGUCGGAUGUGAAAUCCCCAGGCUUAACCUGGGAACUGCAUCCGAUACUGGAUGGCUUGAAUCCGGGAGAGGGAUGCAGAAUUCCAGGUGUAGCGGUGAAAUGCGUAGAUAUCUGGAGGAAUACCGGUGGCGAAGGCGGCAUCCUGGACCGGCAUUGACGCUGAGUGAGCGAAAGCCAGGGGAGCAAACGGG